rnacentral:rRNA from 1 species
UACGGAGGGUGCAAGCGUUAUCCGGAUUCACUGGGUUUAAAGGGCGCGUAGGUGGGUUGGUAAGUCAGUGGUGAAAUCCCCGAGCUUAACUUGGGAACUGCCAUUGAUACUAUCAGUCUUGAAUACUGUGGAGGUUAGCGGAAUAUGUCAUGUAGCGGUGAAAUGCUUAGAUAUGACAUAGAACACCAAUUGCGAAGGCAGCUGGCUACUCGGAUAUUGACACUGAGGCACGAAAGCGUGGGGAUCAAACAGG